rnacentral:rRNA from 1 species
GGGGAAUAUUGCACAAUGGGGGAAACCCUGAUGCAGCAACGCCGCGUGAGUGAUGAAGGUUUUCGGAUCGUAAAGCUCUGUCUUCAGGGACGAUAAUGACGGUACCUGAGGAGGAAGCCACGGCUAACUACGUGCCAGCAGCCGCGGUAAUACGUAGGUGGCGAGCGUUGUCCGGAUUUACUGGGCGUAAAGGGAGCGUAGGCGGACUUUUAAGUGAGAUGUGAAAUACUCGGGCUCAACCCGGGGGCUGCAUUUCAAACUGGGAGUCUAGAGUGCAGGAGAGGAGAGUGGAAUUCCUAGUGUAGCGGUGAAAUGCGUAGAGAUUAGGAAGAACACCAGUGGCGAAGGCGACUCUCUGGACUGUAACUGACGCUGAGGCUCGAAAGCGUGGGGAGCAAACA